GACGAACGCUGGCGGCGUGCCUAAUACAUGCAAGUAGAACGCUGAAGGAGGAGCUUGCUCUUCUGGAUGAGUUGCGAACGGGUGAGUAACGCGUAGGUAACCUGCCUGGUAGCGGGGGAUAACUAUUGGAAACGAUAGCUAAUACCGCAUAACAGUAGAUGUUGCAUGACAUUUACUUAAAAGGUGCAAUUGCAUCACUACCAGAUGGACCUGCGUUGUAUUAGCUAGUUGGUGGGGUAACGGCUCACCAAGGCGACGAUACAUAGCCGACCUGAGAGGGUGAACGGCCCCACUUGGACUGAGACACGGCCCCGACUUCUACGGGAGGCAGCAGUAGGGGAUCCUCGGCAAUGGAAGGAAGUCUGACCGAGCCACGCCGGGUGGGUGGAGAAGGGUUUCGGAUCGUAAAGCUCUGUUGUAAGAGGAGAACGGGUGUGAGGGUGGAAAGUUCACCCUGUGACGGUAUCUUAACAGAAAGGGACGGCUAACUACGUG
rnacentral:rRNA from 1 species